GGGCUCUCUGUGUGGCUUGUAAGAUGCUGAAGACUCAGAUUUUAGAGACCAAGUGCGUUUCAGAAGAGGGCUGAGGAUUGGGUGCAAGGAGUUGGUGUUGAUGGAGGAGCAGGACGCCAGAGUCCCAGCCCUGGAACCGUUCAGAGUGGAGCAGGCACCACCUGUAAUCUACUAUGUCCCUGACUUCAUCUCCAAAGAAGAGGAGGAGUAUUUGCUUCGACAGGUUUUUAAUGCCCCAAAGCCAAAGUGGACCCAGCUCUCUGGGAGAAAGUUACAGAACUGGGGGGGGCCCUCAGGACCCCAUUGCCUUCCCCAGGUGGGCUUCCUCAUCCCCGAGGGAUGGUUCCUGAGCGGCUGCCCCCAUGGCUCCAGCGCUACGUGGACAAAGUGUCAAACCUCAGCCUCUUUGGAGGCCUCCCAGCUAACCAUGUCCUCGUGAACCAGUAUCUGCCUGGGGAGGGCAUCAUGGUAACCACACACCCUCGGCCCGUGUCCCCCCACUCAGACUUCUGAGCUGUGCUGGGGCAGGGGACUCUGUACCCACCCUCACUCAUUAGGCAGCCACAUCUCCCAAACAGGCAUUCACCUCCCUGUCCCUGGCUUGGGAAGCCCCCCUUUGACCCAGAGGGUGGGGGUUGUGGACUCCUGCCCUGCCCAGCCCUGGUGCCCACUCCCUAGCCCCACGAGGACGGACCACUGUACUACCCGACUGUCAGCACCAUCAGCCUGGGCUCCCACACCGUGCUGGACUUCUACGAGCCGCGGCGGCCAGAGGACGAUGACCCUACAGAACAGGUGGGCCCCCAGACACUGCCCCA
rnacentral:lncRNA from 1 species